UGGGGAAUAUUGGACAAUGGGCGAAAGCCUGAUCCAGCCAUGCCGCGUGAGUGACGAAGGCCUUAGGGUUGUAAAACUCUUUCGUCGGGGACGAUAAUGACGGUACCCGAAGAAGAAGCUCCGGCUAACUUCGUGCCAGCAGCCGCGGUAAUACGAAGGGAGCUAGCGUUGUUCGGAAUCACUGGGCGUAAAGCGCACGUAGGUGGGCAGUUAAGUCAGGGGUGAAAGCCCGAGGCUCAACCUCGGAAUUGCCUCUGAUACUGGCUGUCUAGAGUUCGAGAGAGGUGAGUGGAAUUCCUAGUGUAGAGGUGAAAUUCGUAGAUAUUAGGAAGAACACCGGUGGCGAAGGCGGCUCACUGGACAAGUAUUGACGCUGAGGUACGAAAGCGUGGGGAGCAAACAGGAUUAGAUACCCCUGUAGUCCCUGAGCGGGCUGGCAAGGCGCAU
rnacentral:rRNA from 1 species